rnacentral:misc_RNA from 1 species
UCAAACUUGGUCAUUUAGAGGAAGUAAAAGUCGUAACAAGGUUUCCGUAGGUGAACCUGCGGAAGGAUCAUUAUUGUUUAGGGGGCCUCAUUGCCCCUUUGCAACGAUGCAACCCUUUGUUCUUGCCGUAACGCUUGUUUCCCUUGGCGCCUCCAGGCGCCGGAUGGGACCUUGAACCCCUUGCAAUCGAGUACUUUCAGUCGCGGAAAUUAUCAAAACUUUCAACAAUGGAUCUCUUGGCUCUGGCAUCGAUGAAGAACGCAGC